rnacentral:rRNA from 1 species
AUUGAACGCUGGCGGCAGGCCUAACACAUGCAAGUCGAACGAGUGGCGGACGGGUGAGUAAUGUCUGGGAAACUGCCUGAUGGAGGGGGAUAACUACUGGAAACGGUAUCUAAUACCGCAUACCAUCGGAUGUGCCCAGAUGGGAUUAGCUAGUAGGUGGGGUAAAGGCUCACCAAGGCGACGAUCCCUAGCUGGUCUGAGAGGGUGACCGCGCACACUAGAACUGUGACACGGUCCAGACGCCUACGGGAGGCAGCAGUGGGGAAUAGUCCACAAUGGGCGCAAGCCUGAUGCAGCCAUGCCGCGUGUAUGAAGAAGGCCUUCGGGUUGUAAAGUACUUUCAGCGGUGAGGCGUUACCCGCAGAAGAAGCACCGGCUAACUCCGUGCCAGCCGCCGCGGUAAUAC